rnacentral:sRNA from 1 species
GCCGUGAGGUGUUGGGUUAAGUCCCGCAACGAGCGCAACCCUCACUCUAUGUUGCCAUCGGGUAGUGCCGGGCACUCUUAGGGAACUGCCGGCGAAGAGCUGGAGGAAGGGGGGGAUGACGUCAAGUCCGUAUGCCCCUUAUGCCCAGGGCUACACACAUGCUACAAUGGCCGGUACAGAGGGUUCCCAACCCGCAAGGGGGAGGCAAUCCCACAAAGCCGGUCUCAGUUCGGAUUGCAGGCUGCAACUCGCCUGCAUGAAGUCGGAAUCGCUAGUAAGCGCAGAUCAGCAGGCUGCGCUGAAUACGUUCCCGGGCCUUGUACACACCGCCCGUCACACCACGAAAGCUGGUUGUACCAGAAGUCGCUGAGCCAACCGCAAGGAAGCAGGCGCCGAAGGUAUGGUCGGUGAUUGGGGUGAAGUCGUAACAAGGUAGCCGUAGGGGAACCUGCGGCUGGAUCACCUCCUUUCUAAGGAGCUUCGAGGGUCCGGGGGUCCAACCUGGAUCUCCGGGCCCUCCAACGCUUCUCUCGCUCUUCUUCCUCGCGUGAGCCAGUAGCAUUAUUUCUCUUGGGCCUUUAGCUCAGCUGGCUAGAGCGCGCGCUUGAUAAGCGCGAGGUCCCUGGUUCGACCCCAGGAAGGCCCACCAGAAAAGGUAAUGCUGGGGAUGUAGCUCAGUUGGGAGAGCAUCUGCUUUGCAAGCAGGGGGUCGCCGGUUCGACUCCGGCCAUCUCCACCAGACGCCGAAAAGCGAUGACGAGAAUAUCGCGGCUCAGGCUGCGCGUUCUUUGACAAUUGAAUACGUUGAUUCUCGAGUGUAGCCAAGCGAUGUUCUCCGUAAUUCGUGGUCAAGCUACUAAGGGCGAACGGUGGAUGCCUUGGCGCCAGGAAGCGAUGAAGGGCGUGGCUAGCUGCGAUAAGCCUCGGGGAGCCGCAAGCAGGCUUCGAUCCGAGGAUGC